rnacentral:tRNA from 1 species
GCCUGGGUGGCUCAGGGGGUUAAGCAUCUGACUUUGGCUCAGGCCGUGAUCUCCCGGUUCGUGGGUUCGAGCCCCGCGUCGGGCC